CUCCUUUGACGUUAGCGGCGGACGGGUGAGUAACACGUGGGUAACCUACCUAUAAGACUGGGAUAACUUCGGGAAACCGGAGCUAAUACCGGAUAAUAUUUCGAACCGCAUGGUUCGAUAGUGAAAGGUGGUUUUGCUAUCACUUAUAGAUGGACCCGCGCCGUAUUAGCUAGUUGGUAAGGUAACGGCUUACCAAGGCGACGAUACGUAGCCGACCUGAGAGGGUGAUCGGCCGCACUGGAACUGAGACACGGUCCAGACUCCUACGGGAGGCAGCAGCC
rnacentral:rRNA from 1 species